rnacentral:rRNA from 1 species
UACGGNGGGUGCGAGCGUUAAUCGGAAUUACUGGGCGUAAAGCGCGCGUAGGCGGUUUGUCAAGUCGGAUGUGAAAGCCCCGGGCUCAACCUGGGAACUGCACCCGAUACUGGCCGACUUGAGUGCGAGAGAGGGAGGUAGAAUUCCAUGUGUAGCGGUGAAAUGCGUAGAUAUAUGGAGGAAUACCGGUGGCGAAGGCGGCCUCCUGGNUCGANACUGACGCUGAGGUGCGAAAGCGUGGGUAGCAAACAGG